rnacentral:rRNA from 1 species
ACGCUAGCUACAGGCUUAACACAUGCAAGUCGAGGGGAAACGGCAUUAAGUGCUUGCACUUUUUGGACGUCGACCGGCGCACGGGUGAGUAACGCGUAUCCAACCUUCCCAUGACUAAGGGAUAACCUGCCGAAAGGCAGACUAAUACCUUAUGGUCUUCACUGACGGCAUCAGAUGCGAAGUAAAGAUUUAUCGGUUAUGGAUGGGGAUGCGUCUGAUUAGUUAGUUGGCGGGGUAACGGCCCACCAAGGCAACGAUCAGUAGGGGUUCUGAGAGGAAGGUCCCCCACAUUGGAACUGAGACACGGUCCAAACUCCUACGGGAGGCAGCAGUGAGGAAUAUUGGUCAAUGGGCGAGAGCCUGAACCAGCCAAGUAGCGUGCAGGACGACGGCCCUAUGGGUUGUAAACUGCUUUUGUAUGGGGAUAAAGUCAAUCACGUGUGAUUGUUUGCAGGUACCAUACGAAUAAGGACCGGCUAAUUCCGUGCCAGCAGCCGCGGUAAUACGGAAGGUCCGGGCGUUAUCCGGAUUUAUUGGGUUUAAAGGGAGCGUAGGCUGGAGAUUAAGUGUGUUGUGAAAUGUAGACGCUCAACGUCUGACUUGCAGCGCAUACUGGUUUCCUUGAGUACGCACAACGUUGGCGGAAUUCGUCGUGUAGCGGUGAAAUGCUUAGAUAUGACGAAGAACUCCGAUUGCGAAGGCAGCUGACGGGAGCGCAACUGACGCUGAAGCUCGAAGGUGCGGGUAUCGAACAGGAUUAGAUACCCUGGUAGUCCGCACAGUAAACGAUGGAUGCCCGCUGUUGGUACGUGGUAUCAGCGGCUAAGCGAAAGCAUUAAGCAUCCCACCUGGGGAGUACGCCGGCAACGGUGAAACUCAAAGGAAUUGACGGGGGCCCGCACAAGCGGAG